rnacentral:rRNA from 1 species
GAUGAACGCUGGCGGCGUGCCUAACACAUGCAAGUUGAGCGGCAGCGCGAGUAGUUUACUACUUGGCGGCGAGCGGCGGACGGCUGAGUAACGCGUGGGAACGUGCCCCAAAGUGAGGGAUAACUUCGAGAAAUCGGAGCUAAUACCGCAUAGUAUCUUCGGAUUAAAGAAUUUAUUCGCUUUGGGAGCGGCCCGCGUCGGAUUAGGUAGUUGGUGAGGUAAAGGCUCACCAAGCCGACGAUCCGUAGCUGGUCUGAGAGGAUGACCAGCCAGACUGGAACUGAUACACGGUCCAGACUCCUACGGGAGGCAGCAGUGAGGAAUCUUCCACAAUGGGCGAAAGCCUGAUGGAGCAACGCCGCGUGCAGGAUGAAGGCCUUCGGGUUGUAAACUGCUUUUAUAAGUGAAGAAUAUGACGGUAACUUAUGAAUAAGGAUCGGCUAACUACGUGCCAGCAGCCGCGGUAA